rnacentral:rRNA from 1 species
AUUGAACGCUGGCGGCAGGCUUAACACAUGCAAGUCGAGCGGGCGAGGUUGCUUCGGUAACUGAGCUAGCGGCGGACGGGUGAGUAAAGCUUAGGAAUCUGCCUAUUAGUGGGGGACAACAUUCCGAAAGGGAUGCUAAUACCGCAUACGUCCUACGGGAGAAAGCAGGGGCUCUUUAUGACCUUGCGCUAAUAGAUGAGCCUAAGUCGGAUUAGCUAGUUGGUGGGGUAAAGGCCUACCAAGGCGACGAUCUGUAGCGGGUCUGAGAGGAUGAUCCGCCACACUGGGACUGAGACACGGCCCAGACUCCUACGGGAGGCAGCAGUGGGGAAUAUUGGACAAUGGGGGGAACCCUGAUCCAGCCAUGCCGCGUGUGUGAAGAAGGCCUUUUGGUUGUAAAGCACUUUAAGUGGGGAGGAGGCUUACCUGGUUAAUACCUGGGCUAAGUGGACGUUACCCACAGAAUAAGCACCGGCUAACUCUGUGCCAGCCGCCGCCGUAAAAC